AUUGAACGCUGGCGGCAUGCCUUACACAUGCAAGUCGAACGGCAGCACGGGAGCAAUCCUGGUGGCGAGUGGCGAACGGGUGAGUAAUACAUCGGAACGUGCCCUGUAGUGGGGGAUAACUAGUCGAAAGACUAGCUAAUACCGCAUACGACCUGAGGGUGAAAGUGGGGGACCGCAAGGCCUCAUGCUAUAGGAGCGGCCGAUGUCUGAUUAGCUAGUUGGUGGGGUAAAGGCCUACCAAGGCGACGAUCAGUAGCUGGUCUGAGAGGACGGUCAGCCACACUGGGACUGAGACACGGCCCAGACUCCUACGGGAGGCAGCAGUGGGGAAUUUUGGACAAUGGGGGCAACCCUGAUCCAGCAAUGCCGCGUGUGUGAAGAAGGCCUUCGGGUUGUAAAGCACUUUUGUCCGGAAAGAAAUCGCUUCGGUUAAUACCUGGAGUGGAUGACGGUACCGGAAGAAUAAGGACCGGCUAACUACGUGCCAGCCGCCGCCGUAACAC
rnacentral:rRNA from 1 species